rnacentral:rRNA from 1 species
UACGAAGGGGGCUAGCGUUGCCCGGAAUCACUGGGCGUAAAGCGCACGUAGGCGGCUUUGUAAGUCAGAGGUGAAAGCCCGGAGCUUAACUCCGGAAUUGCCUUUGAGACUGCAUCGCUUGAAUCCAGGAGAGGUGAGUGGAAUUCCGAGUGUAGAGGUGAAAAUUCGUAGAUAUUAGGAAGAACACCGGUGGCGAAGGCGGCCCACUGGCUCGGUACUGACGCUGAGGAACGAAAGCGUGGGGAGCGAACAGG